GACGAACCGAGCGAACGUUGUUCGGAAUCACUGGGCUUAAAGGGCGCGUAGGCGGGUGCUCAAGUCCGGGGUGAAAUCCUCCAGCUCAACUGGAGAACUGCCUCGGAUACUGGGUGCCUCGAGUGUGGUAGGGGUGUGCGGAACUGUAGGUGGAGCGGUGAAAUGCGUAGAGAUCGGCAGGAACACCCAGGGGGAAACCAGCCGACUGGGCAUCGACUGACGCUGAGGUGCGAGAGCGUGGGGAGCAAACAGG
rnacentral:rRNA from 1 species